AACUAGACAAACUCGGCAAGUCAG
rnacentral:piRNA from 1 species